rnacentral:rRNA from 1 species
UACGAGAGCCUCGAGCGUUAUCCGGAAUUAUUGGGCGUAAAGGGUGCGUAGGUUGUUUUGCUAGUCUUUUGUUAAAUCUCUGGGCUUAACCUGGGGACCGCGAAAGAAACGGCAAAACUUGAAAGUGCGAGAGGUGUACGGAACUCAUGGUGUAGGGGUGAAAUCCGUUGAUAUCAUGGGGAACACCAAAUGCGAAGGCAGUACACUAGCGCAUAUUUGACGCUGAAGCACGAAAGCAUGGGUAGCGAAUGGG